rnacentral:rRNA from 1 species
AUUGAACGCUGGCGGCAUGCCUAACACAUGCAAGUCGAACGGCAGCACGGUCUAGCUUGCUAGACGGGUGGCGAGUGGCGAACGGGUGAGUAACGCGUAGGAAUAUACCUUGAAGUGGGGGACAACCUGGGGAAACUCAGGCUAAUACCGCGUAAUCUCUUCGGAGGGAAGCUGGGGACCGCAAGGCCUGGCGCUUUAAGAUUAGCCUGCGUCCGAUUAGCUAGUUGGUGGGGUAAAGGCCUACCAAGGCGACGAUCGGUAGCUGGUCUGAGAGGAUGAUCAGCCACACUGGGACUGAGACACGGCCCAGACUCCUACGGGAGGCAGCAGUGGGGAAUAUUGGACAAUGGGGGGAACCCUGAUCCAGCAAUGCCGCGUGUGUGAAGAAGGCCUGAGGGUUGUAAAGCACUUUCGGCGGGGAGGAGGAUGAGUUGGCUAAGAGCUGACUUAUUGGACGUUACCCGCAUAAGAAGCACCGGCUAACUCCGUGCCAGCAGCCGCGGUAACAC